rnacentral:misc_RNA from 1 species
AUAGAUCUGCCACCACUGAUUGUCACUCAGCAGAUAUUGAAACGUCUUUCGAUCCAUCAACUGGUGACCUCAUUGUAGAAUAUGCUUUCUUGUAACCAAGCGCAUUAGUUGCCUUGCGCAAUCAGACUUGAAGCUAGUUUAAUCUUCUCAAUGCCAUCCAAGUCCAGAGCUGUAAGUCACCGUACUCCUCACUCUUAAUUGGCAUAAAUAUAUCGG